rnacentral:rRNA from 1 species
GAUGAACGCUGGCGGCGUGCCUAAUACAUGCAAGUCGAACGCACAGCGAAAGGUGCUUGCACCUUUCAAGUGAGUGGCGAACGGGUGAGUAACACGUGGACAACCUGCCUCAAGGCUGGGGAUAACAUUUGGAAACAGAUGCUAAUACCGAAUAAAACUCAGUGUCGCAUGACACAAAGUUAAAAGGCGCUUUGGCGUCACCUAGAGAUGGAUCCGCGGUGCAUUAGUUAGUUGGUGGGGUAAAGGCCUACCAAGACAAUGAUGCAUAGCCGACGUGAGAGACUGAUCUGCCACAGUGGGACUGAGACACGGCCAAAGCUCCUACAGGAGGCUGCAAUAGGGAAUCUUCCACAAUGGGCGAAAGCCUGAUGGAGCAACGCCGCGUGUGUGAUGAAGGCUUUCGGGUCGUAAAGCACUGUUGUAUGGGAAGAACAGCUAGAAUAGGGAAUGAUUUUAGUUUGACGGUACCAUACCAGAAAGGGACGGCUAAAUACGUGCCAGCCGCCGCAGUAA